rnacentral:lncRNA from 1 species
GACGAAUACGGAUCCUCGAACAGCGCCCACACCCGCGGCCUCCACCUCCUCCACCACCCCCCGGGCCGCCCCUCCUCCAGGCACAGCCGCUUCAGCUCCGCUCCGUUCCCAUCCCCGUUCCCUCCGUCCCCUCCUCCUCCGCCGGGCUCGGGGCUCUCGAAGCUGUCCAGGGCCUCCUCGGCGUCGCGGUGCUGCCGGUAGUUCAUCCAGCAGCACGCCUCCACGUCGGUCUCGUCGAUGCCCCAGAAGGCGAGCUCCUCCUCGAACAGCGGCCCGCACACGUCGGCGGGGCAGUGCAGCUUCCCGGUGCGGUAAUAAUUCAACACGUAAGCGAACACCGCCGGGUGACGGUCGAAAAAAAACUCCCCGGCCGCCGAAUCGUAAUCGAACCGGGCGGCGGCACCGGGUUCGGCCAAACCGGCCAGGCGCGUCCCGGGCAGCGUCUGCAGCGUGCUGCGGUACGUCUCGUGCCGCACGCCGCCCACGUUGAUCACCACCUUAUCGCGCUCCGCCUGCCACCCCAUGGCCGCGGCGGGACCCGACCCGGCCGGGCCUCCGCCGCCUGCCUCCGCCACCGCCGCCCCCUCCUCCUUUUAGGCCCACGGAGGCAGCGGAGCGGCGGCUGCCGCAUGCCGCGGCCCCGCCGCUCCCCUGCGCGCUCAGCGCCGCUUCUGCGCCUGCGCGCCGCGGGCUCCGCCUCUUCCUGCGCGAAGACGCGCCUCUUCCGGUUCGAAGCUCCGCCUCUUCCGCUCCGCCCGACGCGACGCCUACGCGGGCCCCGCCCACCCGCGUGCCGAGGCCACGCCCACUGAGAGGGGAGGAGCGGCGGGGGGUGAGGAGGAAUGGAGGCACUGGGAGCACUGGGAGCACUGGGAGCCACGCAGCCUUUAUUGGUGACCCCAGGUGACACGAGGUGACACAUGGUGACACGUCCCUGAGUUGACCCUGGGUGACCCCGGGUGACCUCCGAUGACCCCAGGUGUCAUGAGGUGACACGCGGUGACACUGUGACUCUGUCCCUGAGUUGACCCUGGGUGACCCCGGUGACCCAAGGUGACCUCAGAUGACUCCAAGUGACCCUAGGUGCCCCCGGGUGACCCAAGGUGACCUCCGAUGACCUCGGGUGACCCCAGGUGACAUGAGGUUACCUCAGGUGACACGAAAGGGCAUGAGGUGACAUAAAGUGACACUGUGACUCUGCCCCUGAGUUGACCCUGGGUGACCCAAGGUGACAUCAGAUGACCCCAAGUGACCCCAGGUGCCCCCAGGUGCCCCCGGGUGACCCCAGGUGACCUCUAAUGACCCCGGGUGACCCCGGGUGACAGCAGUGUCACUUGCUGACCGCCAGCCCGACACGGUCGUGGUCGCGAUCGAAGACGACGUAGUGACGAGCCAGGAAAACGUCCCCAAGGAUCCAGAGGGGUCCCCCGGGGGGGGGCACAUCCAGCUCCAUGAACCCACUGACACACGUU